AUUCAGAACGCGCAAAGGAAAUAACACAAUCCAUUGCUUGCUUCAUGUGCAAAGACUUGAGGCCAUACAACGUUGUGGAAACGAUGGUUUUAGCUACAUGGUAAAGACAAUGGAACCAGGUCCCAUCUUCCAUCGAAAUUGUCUUUCAUUUUGUUUGCUUAAGCAGAACUUCCAAACAGCUCCAGGGAGAAGAUGAAGAUGCUCCUCAGCCUGUUCUUAUUUUUCUCUGGAAGUUUUAUCUUGGCUAAUCCUCCAACCAAUGGAAGGACGACACCUGGCCCGGCUGCUCCUGGAGCUGCAUCUGCUGUGGUGUUGAACACCACGACUGACGGCACGUCAAGGAUCAUUUAUGAGCAGAUGCAAAAUGAAGUCGACUUGUCUUCUGCCUCCUUUAAGUGGAUAAAGGUCAAGGACAA